AUGUUUUCUCUUCGGGCCCCCCGUGUUUCUUUUAUACCCCCCAAUAUUCUAAUUUUGCCCUUGUGAAAAAUUCGGUUCGCAGAAACCGAAUUUUUCCUAGUGCAAAUUCAGAGUAAAUUUCGGUUUUUAGAAACCGAAAUUUGUUUUCAAGGCAAAAAAAAACUUCGGUUUCUACGAACCGAAGUUUUUUCAAGGGCAAAAUUGGAAACUCAGGGGGAUAAAAGAAACACGGG
rnacentral:lncRNA from 1 species